UACGUAGGGGGCAAGCGUUGUCCGGAAUCAUUGGGCGUAAAGAGCGUGUAGGCGGUUCGGUAAGUCGAAUGUGAAAGCCCUCGGCUUAACCGAGGAAGUGCAUCCGAAACUGAGUAGCUAGAGUACGAAAGAGGGUCGCGGAAUUCCCGGUGUAGAGGUGAAAUUCGUAGAUAUCGGGAGGAACACCGGUGGCGAAGGCGGCGACCUGGGUCGAGACUGACGCUGAGGCGCGAAAGCGUGGGGAGCGAACAGG
rnacentral:rRNA from 1 species